UUGUUUUCAAACGUAUGCCGAACUCUCUGCCCCCUUCUCCCAUCGCCGAAAUCUAGCAACCUCCAGAAACCCUAACACCACUCUCCUCUCCUCCGAUCCCAUCUGAUGCCCUCGUUUGCAUGCGACCGUGUACUGAGCUGCGGCCAGCCGCGCCUCUAAAGCCCGCAGGAUUGGCUGGGGCAGAAAUUACGGAGCAAAGGAAAUCGAAUUUGGAGUCGAGGCUAGUGCUUUGAUGCGCAAGGGUGUGGAAGAGCUCGCAGAUGCGGUGAAGGUGAUCAUGGUUCCCAAGGUAUGGGCUUUUUCUCCGUCAUCUGACAAAAGAAUCGUAAAUGCUGUUAUCUUCGUGCAAAGGUAGAUCAUAAAUUUUGUAGAAUGAUAUGUUCAGGCCCAUAAAGACCAUAUUGUAUUUAGUGCGGCAUUUCGCUGUGCUGAUUUGCAUAUGGAGAAACUGUAUUGCGCUGCUUGUUUAUGCCCUCAUUUCUUUUCUUUUUCUUUUCCUGUUUUUUGAAUAAUGGAACAGCACAUUUUAUUAGACGAUGAUUUGGCUUGGUGAGAAUUCCAGCCAUGAUA